rnacentral:rRNA from 1 species
AGGGGAGCGUUGUGUAAGCCUGUGAAGGUGUGCUGUAAGGCAUGCUGGAGGUAUCACAAGAGCGAAUGCUGACGUGAGUAACGACAAAACGGGUGAAAAGCCCGUUCGCCGGAAGACCAAGGGUUCCAGUCCAACGUUAAUCGGGGCUGGGUGAGUCGACCCCUAAGGCGAGGCCGAAAGGCGUAGUCGAUGGGAAAUUGGUUAAUAUUCCAAUACUUGUUUAUGAUGCGAUGGAGGGACGGAGAAGGUUAUGUCAGCCUGGCGUUGGUUGUCCAGGUGAAAAGAUGUAGAUAGGUUUAGUAGGCAAAUCCGCUAGACUAUUAUUGAGAUCUGAUAGCAAGCUGUACAUGUACAGCGAAGUGGCAAAUACCCUGCUUCCAGGAAAAGCUUCUAAGCGAUAGUUAUAAACAAAUCGUACCCGAAACCGACACAGGUGGUCAGGUAGAGAAUACCAAGGCGCUUGAGAGAACUCUGCUGAAGGAACUAGGCAAAAUGGUACCGUAACUUCGGGAGAAGGUACGCUGCCGAUGGUGAAGGGACUUGCUCCCCCAGCUGUUGGCAGUCGCAGAUACCAGGCUGCUGCAACUGUUUAUUAAAAACACAGCACUCUGCAAACACGAAAGUGGACGUAUAGGGUGUGAUGCCUGCCCGGUGCUGGAAGGUUAAUUGAUGGGGUUAGCGUAAGCGAAGCUCUUGAUCGAAGCCCCAGUAAACGGCGGCCGUAACUAUAACGGUCCUAAGGUAGCGAAAUUCCUUGUCGGGUAAGUUCCGACCUGCACGAAUGGCAUAAUGAUGGCAGCGCUGUCUCCAGCAGAGACUCAGUGAAAUCGAAAUCGCAGUGAAGAUGCUGUGUACCCGCGGCUAGACGGAAAGACCCCGUGAACCUUUACUACAGCUUUACAUUGAACUUUGACCUAACUUGUGUAGGAUAGGUGGGAGGCUUUGAAGUAGUGACGCCAGUUACUAUGGAGCCAACCUUGAAAUACCACCCUGGUUAUGUUGGGGUUCUAACUUCGAAUUAACAAAUUCAAGGACAAUGUAUGGUGGGUAGUUUGACUGGGGCGGUCUCCUCCUAAAGAGUAACGGAGGAGUACGAAGGUGCGCUCAGAACGGUCGGAAAUCGUUCAAAGAGUAUAAAGGCAAAAGCGCGCUUAACUGCGAGACCCACAAGUCGAGCAGGUACGAAAGUAGGUCUUAGUGAUCCGGUGGUUCUGUAUGGAAGGGCCAUCGCUCAACGGAUAAAAGGUACUCUGGGGAUAACAGGCUGAUACCGCCCAAGAGUUCAUAUCGACGGCGGUGUUUGGCACCUCGAUGUCGGCUCAUCUCAUCCUGGGGCUGAAGCAGGUCCCAAGGGUAUGGCUGUUCGCCAUUUAAAGAGGUACGCGAGCUGGGUUUAGAACGUCGUGAGACAGUUCGGUCCCUAUCUACCGUGGGCGUUGGAAAUUUGAGAGGAUCUGCUCCUAGUACGAGAGGACCAGAGUGGACGAACCUCUGGUGUUCCGGUUGUCACGCCAGUGGCAUUGCCGGGUAGCUAUGUUCGGAUGGGAUAACCGCUGAAAGCAUCUAAGCGGGAAGCCCACCUCAAGAUAAGAUUUCCCUAAAGAGCCGUUGU